AGAGGAUUUUCCUGCUAGAAAACUGUGAGCUUGCUGUAGUUACAAUGCCAGGUCAGCUAAUUGUACAGAGAAUUUUCUUUAGAUUUCAGCUUUACUAGGAACCAGUGAGAAGCACAUUGGUGCAGAAUUUAAAGGCAUCCUUUUGAUUUAUAGGUGAGGUUCAAGUCACAGGACAAGAGAAGUGUACUCCAAAAAUAAAAGCAGACUUUAUCUCAUGCUGUCCAGCAAAUUCCUAUAUGAAAGCAGGAGGAUUUCAGAAACCAACCGAUACUACGAAUAAAAUACUGCUGCUGUAUGGAAGAAGUAUGCGGGAAAAAAUAUUUCCAAAUUUGCUUCUGACCAGUUUGUGGCCACAAGAGCAGGGGGAAGAGCUGUAUUUUUUUCCUUUGUGAUCUUUUAUGAACUACUGCUCUUCAGGGACAGAGAUCACUAAUGCAAGAGGGAGAGCAAUUGCUUAUUGAUGUAAUUGUAGCAAAUGAGCGCAGUAUAAAGGGCACGUAACUGACAGCAUCUUUCUGGAAGAUAUGCAGACACUCUCCUGCUUCACUGGGAAUGUUUGUACAUGUUGCCAGAUACUUGUCCUAAGGUGAGUCUGAAAAUACACAACUGGAGCAAAAGUUCAGAACAUGAGUAAUUAAAGAAGGCCUUCUUAUCACUCUUCUCACUUUAUCUCUCUUCUGUUUCAGUGUGUUUGUUUCCUUUUCAUAAAGAAGACAACAGCUCUGGAUGCUGAUAAAACAAAGCUUGGCGGAGUCCCAAGCGCAAAAUCUUGUUCUGGGACUACACUCAGCUUGAUCUUCUCAUUUACCUCACAGGUAUGAAGGGAUUUUUCAUACACUGGCCAGAACUGCUAGUAAGGGCAAUUGGGAUUUCUAAUUGUGGUUAUGACUGUAUUUGGAUUCCAAUAUAAUGUGUAUUUAAGAGGGCUUUUAUAGGAAAACAUAAGCUCAUUCUGCCUAUGCUCCAAGCCAACAGUAUCUUAUGUUGGUCUGCUAAUAUAGGAGAAGAGUUUAUUAGCUGAGCUUGAUGCACUCUUAACUGUGGC
rnacentral:lncRNA from 1 species